rnacentral:tRNA from 1 species
GUUUUAAUAAUUUAAAAAAAAUAUUGAUUUUGUAAAUCAAAUAUAAAGCUAUCUUUUUAAAACU